rnacentral:rRNA from 1 species
ACGCUGACACCUACGGGAGGCAGCAGUGGGGAAUAUUGCACAAUGGGGGAAACCCUGAUGCAGCGACGCCGCGUGGAGGAAGAAGGUCUUCGGAUUGUAAACUCCUGUUGUUGGGGAAAAAGAGGAUGGUACCCAACAAGGAAGUGACGGCUAACUACGUGCCAACAGCCGCGGUAAUCUGAGCGGGCUGGCAAGGC